GUGGCAAACGGGUGAGUAACGCGUAGACAACCUGCCGUAAAGAUGGGGACAACAGUCCGAAAGGACUGCUAAUACCGAAUGUUGUGGAACUUCCGCAUGGAAGCUCCACUAAAGAUGGCCUCUACUUGUAAGCUAUCGCUUUACGAUGGGUCUGCGUCUGAUUAGCUAGUUGGUGGGGUAACGGCUUACCAAGGCGACGAU
rnacentral:rRNA from 1 species